UACGUAGGCAGCGAGCGUUGUUCGGAGUUACUGGGCGUAAAGGGUGUGUAGGCGGUUGUUUUAAGUUUGGUGUGAAAUCUCCCGGCUCAACUGGGAGGGUGCGCCGAAUACUGAAUGACUUGGAGUGCGGGGAGAGGUGGAGUGGAAUUCCUGGUGUAGCGGUGAAAAUGCGUAGAUAUCAGGAGGAACACCGGUGGUGUAGACGGCUCACUGGACCGUAACUGACGCUGAGACACGAAAGCGUGGGUAGCAAACAGG
rnacentral:rRNA from 1 species